rnacentral:rRNA from 1 species
CUGCUCAAUGAAAAUUUUAAAUAGCUGCAGUAUCUAUGACUGUACAAAGGUAGCAUAAUAAAUAGUUUUUUAAUUGAAAACUAGAAUGAAAGAUUCCAUGAAAAAUAUUCUUUAUUAAUUUUAUUAAUUAAAAUUAAUAUUUAAAUAAAAAUAUUUAAAUAAAUUAAAUAGACGAAAAGACCCUAUAAAAUUUUAUAAUUAAAUAAAAAAAUUAUUUAAUUGGGGAAAUUAAAAAAUUUAAAAAAUUUUUUUAAAUAAAACAUUAAUAAAUGAAUUAUAAAAAUUAUUAAAUUUUUCAAAAUAAUUACUUUAGGGAUAACAGUAUAAUUUUUUUAAAAAGAACAUAUUUAUAAAAAAAAUUAUAACCUCGAUGUUGAAUUAAGAUAAAAUUUUAGAGAAAAAGUUAAAAUUUUAAGUCUGUUCGACU